GACGAACGCUGGCGGCGUGCUUAACACAUGCAAGUCGAACGGAAAGGCCCUGCUUGCAGGGUACUCGAGUGGCGAACGGGUGAGUAACACGUGGGUGAUCUGCCCUGCACUUCGGGAUAAGCCUGGGAAACUGGGUCGAAUACCGGAUAGGAGCCAUUUUGAGUGUGAGGGUGGGAAAGUUUUUUGGGUGUAGGAGGAGCUCGCGGCCUAUCAGCUUGUUGGUGGGGUAAUGGCCUACCAAGGCGGAGACGGGUAGCCGGCCUGGGAGGGUGGACGGCCACAUUGGGACUGAGAUACGGCCCAGACCCCUAAGGGAGGCAGAGGUGGGGAAUAUUGCACAAUGGGCGCAAGCCUGAUGCAGGGACGCCGCGUGGGGGAUGACGGCCUUCGGGUUGUAAAAUCCUUUCGCUAGGGACGAAGCUUUUUGUGACGGUACCUAGAUAAGAAGCACCGGCUAACUACGUG
rnacentral:rRNA from 1 species